rnacentral:misc_RNA from 1 species
CAACCCUUAAGCCUAGCUUAGUGUUGGGAAUUUACAGUUAUGUAAUUUCCUGAAAUACAACGGCGGAUCUGUGGUAUCCUCUGAGCGUAGUAAAUUAUUUCUCGCUUUUGUUAGGUGCUGCAGCUCCCAGCCGCUAACCCAUUUUCUGUGGCCAGCUCGAUAGUAGAUACCGCUGACUUACGAUAUCAUACGG